GAUGAACGCUAGCGGCAGGCCUAACACAUGCAAGUCGAGGGAGAGGUUACCUUCGGGUAACCACAACCGGCGCACGGGUGCGUAAUGCGUAUACAAUCUGCCUUUCACAUAGGGAUAGCCCGCAGAAAUUUGGCUUAAUACCUAAUGGUAUAUAAGAGCGGCAUCGUUUUUAUAUUAAAGCUACGGUGGUGAAAGAUGAGUAGGCGUUCUAUUAGCUAGUUGGUGGGGUAACGGCUCCCCAAGACGACGUUCGGUAGGGGUUCUGAGAGGACAGUCCCCAACACUGGGACUGAGAUACGGCACAGACUCCUACGGGAGGCAGCAGUGGGGAAUUGUGGACAAUGGGCGGAAGGAUGAUCCAGUAAUGCCGCGUGCAGGAAGAAGGCCUUCGGGUUGUAAACUGAUUUUGUACGGAACGAAACGGCUCUGGGUAAUACCCGGGGCUAAUGACGGUACCGUAAGAAUAAGCACCGGCUAACUACGUG
rnacentral:rRNA from 1 species